rnacentral:rRNA from 1 species
UACGUAGGUGACAAGCGUUGUCCGGAUUUACUGGGCGUAAAGAGCGCGCAGGCGGUCGUUCAAGUCGAGUGUGAAAGCCCCCGGCUCAACUGGGGAGGGUCACUCGAUACUGAUCGACUCGAAGGCAGGAGAGGGUAGUGGAAUUCCCGGUGUAGUGGUGAAAUGCGUAGAUAUCGGGAGGAACACCGGUGGCGAAGGCGGCGACCUGGGCCAAUAUUGGACGCUG